CGUGAGUAACCUGCCCCUGACUCUGGGAUAAGCCUUGGAAACGAGGUCUAAUACCGGAUACGUGACGCUCAGGCAUCUGAUGCGUCUGGAAAGAUUUAUCGGUCAGGGAUGGACUCGCGGCCUAUCAGCUUGUUGGUGGGGUAACGGCCUACCAAGGCGACGACGGGUAGCCGGCCUGAGAGGGCGACCGGCCACACUGGGACUGAGACACGGCCCAGACUCCUACGGGAGGCAGCAGUGGGGAAUAUUGCACAAUGGGCGCAAGCCUGAUGCAGCGACGCCGCGUGAGGGAUGAAGGCCUUCGGGUUGUAAACCUCUUUCAGCAGGGAAGAAGCGCAAGUGACGGUACCUGCAGAAGAAGCGCCGGCUAACUACGUGCCAGCAGCCGCGGUAAUACGUAGGGCGCAAGCGUUGUCCGGAAUUAUUGGGCGUAAAGAGCUCGUAGGCGGUUUGUMGCGUCUGCUGUGAAAACUCGAGGCUCAACC
rnacentral:rRNA from 1 species